rnacentral:rRNA from 2 species
AAAAUGGAGAGUUUGAUCCUGGCUCAGGAUGAACGCUGGCGGUAUGCUUAACACAUGCAAGUCGAACGGUCUUUUAGGAGACAGUGGCGGACGGGUGAGU